AUGGGUAAAAUGACUAGGUUGCCUUUUCCAAAAGCAAGUAGAUCAACAGAACAACUUGCCAUUGUUCACUCUGACAUUUGUGGGGAAUUUUCCACACCCACUUUGGGAGGGCAGAAAAUCUACUUUAUCACUUUCAUAGAUGACUAUUCAAGAUACAUUUAUGUGUAUUUGCUUAAACACAAAUCGGAAGGAUUUGAUACUUUUAAAGUGUUCAAAGCGGAAGUGGAAAAUCAGUUAAACAAGAAAAUUAAAAUACUUAGAACUGACCGUGCUGGUGAAUACACGUCAGGAAUGCUAGAUGAUUUCUGCAAAGAACACGACAUUAUUCAUCACUAUACCUUGCCAUAUACUCCACAACAGAAUGGAGUGGUGGAAAGAAGGAAUAGGACUUUAAUGGAUAUGGUUAGGUCUAUGAUGGCUUAUUCUGACUUGCCAUUGUCUUUUUGGGGAGAGGCACUUCACACUGUUGUAUAUUUAUUGAAUCACUCACCUUCUAAAGCUGUAACGGUAACACCCUAUGAGCUUUGGAAGGGAAGGAAGCCCUCACUUCGCCAUUUGGCAGUUUGGGGGUGUAAUGCUCAAAUAAGAAUACCUAGCCAGUUGCGCACCAAACUACAAUCUAAAAGUACCCCAAGAAUUUUUAUUGGUUAUGCAUCAGGUUCUAAUGGUUAUCGUUUUGGGGAUCCUCAAAGAAAGAAAUUGAUUGAAAGUGGAGAUGCAGUUUUUCUUGAUCAGGAUACUCCUCGCCGUGCUAAACGAGCUAGGUUGGAAUUAUUAGUAGAACCUGAAGAUAUCUCUUUACCUGAAACUGAACCUGUAGUUCAGGAAAAUAAUGAUGCUAGUCAAUCUACUAACUCUAUUUCGAAUAGCAUGCCUAGGAGAAGUGGGAGGAUUACACAACCACCUGCAUAUUUAGAUGAGUAUUUUGUUUUUCUGGGGGAAGUGCACUCUAAAAUUCAGAACUUAGAGGAAGAACCAAAAUCAUUCAAAGCUGCAUUGGCAAGUCCUAAAUUAAAUAUUUGGAUGGAAGCCAUGCAGGAAGAAUUAAAUUCUAUGAGGAAAAAUAAUGUUUGGGAAUUAGUUGAAUUACCAAACAAUCGAAAGUCUAUUUGUUCUAAAUGGAUUUUUAAAAGGAAAUUGAAUGCGACUGGUUAA
rnacentral:rRNA from 1 species